rnacentral:rRNA from 1 species
CGGCCGGACGUAUCAGAUUAGGUAGUUGGUGAGGUAAAGGCUCACCAAGCCGACGAUCUGUAGCUGGUCUGAGAGGACGACCAGCCACACUGGGACUGAGACACGGCCCAGACUCCUACGGGAGGCAGCAGUGGGAAUUUUGGACAAUGGGCGCAAGCCUGAUCCAGCAAUGCCGCGUGCAGGAUGAAGGCCUUCGGGUUGUAAACUGCUUUUGUACGGAACGAAACGGUGAGCUCUAAUACAGUUUGCUAAUGACGGUACCGUAAGAAUAAGCACCGGCUAACUACGUG